CAAAUAGGCCACCUACGAAGCCACCAAAACGAGCAGCUCAUAAAAAAACCAGAAAGGGCCUGGUAAACCAAAAAAUGUUUUCUUUAUUUCCACCUCUGAUUCCAAACCCCUUUCAGCCACCACCAGCAAUACUUCCUCCCAUCAUCCCUUCGCCACCGCCUUCAAUAUUUCCUCCUUUCUUCCCAUCACCUCCGCCUUCAAUAUUUCCUCCUGUUUUUCCGACCCCUCCACAGCCACCACCUUCAAUAUUUCCUCCAUUUUUCCCUGCACCACCAGUAGCACCUCCUCCAUCAAUAUUUCCUCCACUCUUCCCUCCAAUACCGGGAUUUAGUCCUCCGGUGGUGAUGCCACCACCGCCACCGCCACCAGUCUUCCCAUUUCUUCCACCAGGAUUCCCCGGAGUGCCGCCAGUGGCAAGGUCAAGUCAUUCAGAAGAGACAAAACAUCCUUAAUUAAAUGAAAGUCACAUGCA
rnacentral:lncRNA from 1 species